UGGGGAAUUUUGGACAAUGGGGGCAACCCUGAUCCAGCCAUGCCGCGUGAGUGAAGAAGGCCUUCGGGUUGUAAAGCUCUUUCGGACGGAACGAAAUGGUUAUGGUGAAUAUCCAUGACUGAUGACGGUACUGUAAGAAGAAGCACCGGCUAACUACGUGCCAGCAGCCGCGGUAAUACGUAGGGUGCAAGCGUUAAUCGGAAUUACUGGGCGUAAAGCGUGCGCAGGCGGUUGUGUAAGUCAGAUGUGAAAUCCCCGGGCUCAACCUGGGAAUUGCAUUUGAGACUGCACGGCUAGAGUGUGUCAGAGGGGGUAGAAUUCCACGUGUAGCAGUGAAAUGCGUAGAGAUGUGGAGGAACACCGAUGGCGAAGGCAGCCCCCUGGGCCAACACUGACGCUCAGGCACGAAAGCGUGGGGAGCAAACAGGAUUAGAUACCCCUGUAGUCCCUGAGCGGGCUGGCAAGGCGCAU
rnacentral:rRNA from 1 species